AGCGAACGCUGGCGGCGUGCCUAACACAUGCAAGUCGAACGUGAAAGGGAGCAAUCCCAAGUAAAGUGGCGUACGGGUGAGUAACACGUAGGUAAUCUACCCCAGAAUCUGGAAUAACCGGCCGAAAGGCUGGCUAAUACUGGAUAGCGCGACGGAAUCCGCAAUUGGGUUUUUCGGGAAAGGGAGCCUGUAAAAAGGCCUUCGUUCUGGGAUGAGCCUGCGUCCCAUCAGCUAGUUGGUGAGGUAAACGCUUACCAAGGCAAUGACGGGUAGCUGGUCUGAGAGGACGAGCAGCCAAGCUGGAACUGGAGCACGGUCCAGACUCCUACGGGAGGCAGCAGGGGGGAAUCUUGCGCAAUGGACGAAAGUGGGACGCAGCGACGCCGCGUGAGAGAAGGAGGCAGUCGGGUUGUGUAGCUCUGUCAGGUGUGACGAAAAUGCUGGGAGUUCACAGGGGCAGGAACUGACGGUACCGCGAAAGGAAGCACCGGCUAACUCCGUG
rnacentral:rRNA from 1 species